AUGGCUCGCUCGUCACCUGUCGCCGUACCGCUGGGGCACGGCCUGCGUUGGAGCCGGUCUGGAGGCAAUCGGGUCCCCGCCGGCAAGCUCGUCGCCGGAGAUGAUGCGGGCGCCGGCCGGCCUUCAGCGGUGCCGUCCCUGCACCUCUGCUACACGCGCCGGAGCUCGACGCUGUCGUUGCUGCCCUGUUUCACGCGGCAGAGCUCGAGGGCUCCCUACUGCCAGCUGCGGGCGAGGCAGCCAUGGCGAGCUCGCGUCAAGGCGUUGCAGAUGGGGCCAGGCACGGCGGCCGUCGGACAUGAAGAAAGCGAGCUCGGCCUGAGUGCAAGGAGGCCAGCAGGAGGCAAGCACGACCGCGAGGCUGGCUUCUCGUCGGGACGCCGCCGCGGCUCGGUGAAGAAGGAGGAGCCCGCGUCGCCAUCGCCACCACGUUGGGCCCCCGCGCCGCGCGCGUUCUCCAUCGCGCCCACGGCCACCGGCGAGCGCGAUCGACACUACAUCGAGGCGGCCGUCUGCCGCCGUUAUUGGGAGACGAGGACGCCGCUGCCCUGGAGCGACGUCCCCCUCCCCAAUAACUGGCACCUGUCGGCCGACCGCGUGCCGAUCCCGUCGGUCCCGCUGAGCGGCCGUGCGCGCUGCCAGGAGAUCCAGCGCCGCCGCCGGCUCCUCCCGGACGACCUCUACUACGACGAGAGGUACGCCCCAACUCGCCAUUGUGGGACACUUGGUUCCGCGAUGAGCACGACAUGCGGCUGGCGUCGUUCUUCGCCGGCACGUCGACGGGGCCGCGGCGGCCACGUGAGCCCCGAGCGGUUCCCCAGGCGCGCGGGGCGUACGCGGGUGCGCGGCCUGACGCCCACGCCGUCGCCGUCGCCAUCUCCAUCGCCAUCCCCACCUCCUCGCAUGACGGCGGAGGAGGAGGCCCGGCUCAUGGCGCGUGUGCUGGAAGACUCCAUGCACACGCACGACGAGCGCCAAUGGGAGGGCCUCAAGGAGAUGACGACCCUCUCCGCGGCCGGCGACGUCGCCAUCUCGGAGGUGGAGAUGGUGCCGAUGGAGGAGGUGGUGGAGGAGCCACCGGUGGCCGCGUUCCACCCUGGCCUGGUGGGCCAGGGAUGGAGCUGGUCGUGCACCGCUGAGCAGAUGGCGGCCGCCGUGGGGGGCGUGAACUGGUGCCCCACGCCGCCGCGGUCACCGGAGCGGGAGGCAUCGCCUCGGGAGGAGGUGGUGCAGGCACCGGCCACCUUCCAGCCGCCGCCCCCGUGCACCACGGACCGCCGGCCCACCUGUGGACGCCGGCGGACUACGUCGACCUCGUCAGCGACGACGACGACACCGGCGGCCAGUGAAGACGGCGACGGCCACGGCAUCGACGGGCGCGGCAGGAGCGCGCGGGAGGCCGGCGACGGCGAUGAGCGGAUGAUCGCGACGGCCGCCGACGACCUCUCCGGCAGAAAAGAGCAAGACAUUUUGAACGUCAGGUUUCAUAUAGGGGGGCAGUUUGUUCGAAUUGGUCGUUCUCUGGACUAUGUUGGGGGAGAUGUGGCCUACUCUGAGAUUGAGAGGGACAAGCUGUCCUUGCAGGAGGUCAAGCGUUUUCUUGCAGAUCAUUUGACAGUAAAGGAAAGCAUGAAGUAUUAUUAUCUUAUGUCUGGUAGAGACCUGAUUAAUGGGUUGUUGUUUCUACAUGAUGAUGCUGGUUGCAUGAUGAUGUCAGAUCAUACAACAGAUGGUGGAGUUGCAGAAAUUUUUGUGGAGUACAAUGGGGAUCAGGAUGAAGAAGGAGAGGAGAGUGGCUCUGAUUUUGAGGAGGAAAUUCAGGAUCAUAUGCUAAGUGGAAGUGAAGAAGAUAUGCCUAUUGUCAUGAGUGCUGAAGAAGUGCAAUUGGAUCAUCAGAAUGUAGAUGAAGAAUUAGUACAACAAGUACUUGUCCCCAAUAAUAGUGGUGUUAUUACUGCAGUCAUAAGCAGCCCAUUGAAGAGAAGAAGUUCUGAAACUUACAAUCCUUCUCAGAGUUCUCAAGUGUGCAAUCCUUCCCAGCCUACAAUAGUGCCUGCAGCAGCAGCAGUUUCAGCAAGAUAUAAAGCAACAACACAAGGGGCAGAGCUUGCAGCAACAACACAAGGAGCAGAGAUUGCAGCAACAACACAAGGAGUACAACAUGCAGCAGCAGAGCAAGGAGCAGAGCAAGCAAAAGAGGAGUCUGAUUCAGAUGAUUCAGAGGACAAUGACUAUGUUCCACGUACUGAUGAUAGUGGAGAGGAAUCAGAGGUAGUUGAGCUAAGAAAACAUGCAAGGAAGUUCAGAAAAAAGAUGAAAGACUCCAGGAAAUGGGUUACUUCAGAUGCAUCAGGGGCUGUUCCUAUUGACUUCAUUGCAAAUGUUGAAGAAGUAGUGGAGGAAAUGGAAUUUGAGUCUAGUGAUGAAGAUUAUUCCUAUGAUGAAGAUGAGAAGGGGCACAUUGUUAGAAGGAAGAGCAAGUACCCUAGAUUUGACCCUCAUACUGAUAUUCCACACUUUAGUUUGGGGAUGGUUUUCAGAAGCAAAAAUCAAUUUGUCAAAGCAAUUAAGAGAUAUGGUCUUGCUACAAAAAGAAGCAUCAAUUUCUUAAAGUCUGAGGAGGUGAGGGUGAGAGCCAAAUGUGGAUGGCCUGGGUGCCCAUGGCUUGUGUAUGGAGCAAAGACUAGCAGGUGCUCAAGGUUCCAAAUCAUUACAUAUGAGGAUGAGCACCACUGUGCACAGAACAGGGAAAACAGGCUUGUUUCUGCAAAGGUCAUAGCAGAAAGAUAUGAACAUUUCAUCCUUGCCAAUCCAAUGUGGAAGAUUGAUAGCAUCAAAGCCACUGUCCUCAAAGAUAUGUUUGCUGAUGUGUCAACCUCAAAGUGCAAGGCAGCAAAAAAGAUUGUCAUGGAUAAGUUGAUGUGUGGUAUGAAGAGUGAGUAUACUAAAAUCUUUGACUAUCAGUUAGAGUUGCUUAGAAGUAACCCUGGGAGUACUAUUGCUGUUUGCUUGGAUCCAAAAGAAAUGGAAAUUAAUGUUUUCCAACAGUUCUAUGUUUGUUUCAAUGCUUUGAAACAAGGGUUUAAAGCUGGAUGCAGGAAAGUCAUAGGCCUAGAUGGAUGCUUCUUCAAAGGAGCAUGCCAAGGUGAAUUACUUGCUGCAAUUGCUAGGGAUGCAAACAACCAAAUGUACCCUGUAGCAUGGGCUGUUGUGGAAAAAGAAACUACAGAGACAUGGAAGUGGUUUAUUGGGUUGCUAAUCAAGGAUUUGGAUAUCAAUGAUCAAGGAGCUGGCUGGGUUUUUAUUUCUGACCAGCAAAAGGGAUUAAUUAAUAGCAUGAGAGAUUAUUUGCCUAGGGCACAACACAGGAUGUGUGCAAGGCACAUUUAUGCCAAUUGGAGAAAGAAGCACAGGGAUCAUGAAUUACAAAAAAGAAUUUGGGCAAUUGCCAAGGCUUCAAACAAACAUGAUUUUAAUUACAACAAGGCCAGGCUUGCUCAGAAAACCCCUGAUGGUGCAAAAGAUAUUAUGAGGAUAGAGCCAGUGCAUUGGGCUAGGGCAUUCUUCCCAUAUGGAUCAAACUGCGGGUCAGUGGACAACAACCUAUGUGAGUCUUUCAACAAUGCCAUCAUAGAAUCAAGGUUUUAUCCCAUAAUAUCACAGCAAGAGAUGAUAAGGAAGAAGAUGUAUGUGGGAAUUCAGGAACAGAGAAGCAAAAGUGAUAAGUGGCAUGGAACAGUUUGCCCUAACAUUUUUAAGAAACUACAGGGCAACAUCAAGAGAACUCUGUUUUGUGAGGUGCUCUGGAAUGGCAAGGAUGGAUUUGAGGUCAAGCAUUUGACUGGCAGAGGAAGGAGCAAGCAGAGACUGAGGCUGCCAAAAGAAGGGCAGCUACAGCUAGAUCUUCUCAACCUGCAACCAGGACUCAAACUCCUGAGUCCUCUCAACAUGCAGCAACUACAAGCUCACAGCCAGGCUCCUCAAGUUUCAGACCUCCCAGAAGAUCAGCACCAGCUGGAAAUGAAGCACCUGGAGGAAGUACAUCUAUUGGCAGAGGCAGAGGAAGAGGUUUCAUGCCCUGGUUCACAGCUUCUGGGAACUACUGAAGUUGUGUAUUACUGA
rnacentral:rRNA from 1 species